AUGUUGUUCCACCUAUAGGGUU
rnacentral:piRNA from 1 species